UGGGGAAUCUUGGACAAUGGGCGCAAGCCUGAUCCAGCCAUGCCGCGUGAGCGAUGAAGGCCUUAGGGUUGUAAAGCUCUUUCACCGGUGAAGAUAAUGACGGUAGCCGGAGAAGAAGCCCCGGCUAACUCCGUGCCAGCAGCCGCGGUAAUACGGAGGGGGCUAGCGUUGUUCGGAAUUACUGGGCGUAAAGCGCGCGUAGGCGGACUGAUCAGUCAGGGGUGAAAUCCCGGGGCUCAACCCCGGAACUGCCUCCAAAACUAUUGGUCUAGAGUUCGAGAGAGGUGAGUGGAAUUCCAAGUGUAGAGGUGAAAUUCGUAGAUAUUUGGAGGAACACCAGUGGCGAAGGCGGCUCACUGGCUCGAUACUGACGCUGAGGUGCGAAAGUGUGGGGAGCAAACAGGAUUAGAUACCCUGGUAGUCCACACCGUAAACGAUGAAUGCCAGUCGUCGGGUAGCAUGCUAUUCGGUGACACACCUAACGGAUUAAGCAUUCCGCCUGGGAGUACGGCU
rnacentral:rRNA from 1 species